GAGCCCAUGGGACGGUGCCGCCUUGUUCAGGGCGGGUCUUCUGUUCUCAUCAAACCAUUCUAGAAUCAGCUUCAUAGACACACCCAACGAUGUGACUCAUUGGUGUUUCUUAAUGGAAUCAAGCUGGCCGUUGAAAACAAUCUCGAUGUCUCCCGUUCUCCACAAGCAAAGAAAAUCAAUCUUAGUGCUCUGAGACAGGUGCUUAUGUUGUUUCAAGGUUUCUGAGGGAAGCUCUGAGGAAGAAAAAGGAGAGGUGAAAGGAGAGAUUGAUCUUGCAGCACUUUAGCAAUGUGCUCAUGAACUCAUUAACAUCUUAAACAGUAGUGUAACUUCACAGCAGUUUGUUCAAAUCCCUACAGCAUCCAUGCAGAAAUUUCUUCCAUCAGAGCUGCAGCCGGCAAGGGCUAUAUGCAUUUUGGAAAUCCGGAUGCCCAGUGAUAAGUACAUUUGUUUGGUUUUACUGAUAUGACUCAGGGCCACUGUUUCUCCUGGUUUGGGAAUGGUUUCCAGGAGAGUUCUUACUGCCUACCAGACCAAGACCUACCACAGGACUCAGUUAUUCUCAUUGAUUUAUUAUCACUCAACUCAUCCUGGCAAAAGCACUUGAAAGGGGAAGGUGGAAAGGAUCAUGGGAGAUGAUGAGUAAGAAGUGGAGAACUAGGGAUGGAGUGACAGCAGCAGGGACAGAGGGCAGCAGCUGUAAGAAGCCGGUGGAGGACUGGGAAGGGACCCUGGCCAGCCUGCUCUGGGCCUGUGCCUGAAGAGAGGGCCAUCUGGGUUUCAUGAGCACCUAGAAGGAGCUGUUUAAAAUCGUGCUGCAUCAUCUACAGAACCUCCAGAGCCUGAAAGAGGGGCUGCCACCAUGCUGUUUGACCCAGGAGUUUUAAUCAUCCCAGACCCUCACUUCUCAUGACAGUGACCAAGGAAACAUCGGGAAAGAUGACGGUGUGCUGAGUAUACACUUGACACCAGCAAAUAGAGAGAAGUGCUGGCAUCCGGAAAGGAGGGAAGGAGCUGAAUAGACCCUGAGGGGAAGGAGAAGAGAAUAAAAUAGUGAGAUAUUCAAAGUGCCAGCCUUCUCAGGGCUGCCAACAAAGCCAGCUGACACCAGGACUUCCUAGAGCCUUCUCUACUGGUGUGAGACAAAACCCUGUCUUUGUUUUCACUUUACAAGGUCACUUACUGUUGACACAGGUCUUCUUUGCUGCCCUCUUGUUUCUGGCCCCUGGGUUCAGAGGGAAGAAAAAGGACAGGCAAAGGAGAGGCCAGAGGGUAGAUCUGAUAGACUAAAUGAAAAGUGAUCAGCAGACAGCCUCAAGCCCAUGAGGAGGGCCAGCCCAGGCACACAGAUCUGGUGCUACGGAGUGAGAGCAGGGACCGAGUGGAUAGAGGACUGAGGGCAACAAGACUCCACUCUGCCCUGCCUUGCAAUUCCUGCUAAGCAAGAUACGUUAGUGAAAUCAGCUCGACUCAGAGGAACUGUAGCCGGCAACAAAACCCACCGUAACUAUUAAAUGCUUUUUAAACAGCUUGUGGUAACCCAUCCGUGAGUUGUAAAAUCGUUUCAGUAGAAUAAAACCAGCAACGCCUUUUAAAUGGAAAAGAACAGUGAGAAUAGAAUGAAGCAUAUAUCACACAAUAAGAGAAUAGGUAGCUUUGCCCGGAAUUUUGUUUCUAUUUUGUGUUUUGUAUAGGAAACUACAAUCCUCUCAGUAGUAGCAAAAUAUCUUUUCUACAUUUUUAGUGUCCCCUGUUUUUCAGAGUUAUGUCUCUUCCUGUGCAAACAAAUGUCCCUAAAUCCAUGAAAACGUCCAAGGAUCUGACAUCCAACCUUGGCUAGCAGGAACCGACUUCCUUCAUCUUUAUUCUAGAGUUUUCUCUUCAGAGACUGAUGAGUGUUUGCACCACUGGCCCAUUCACAAGUACCUUCUAUAGAACAACCCAUGCCAGCCAAGCUUGCUAUGGUAGGAUGCCCCAGGCAGACAUGAUCUGCAGUUUUAGCAAAUACUGCAGUAUCCUGUAUCUGCUAGUACAGUGGUUUUCAACCUUCCUGAUGCUGUGACCCUUUAGUACAGUUCCUCAUGUUGUGCUGACCCCACCAUCACCACAAAAUUAUUUUCAUUGCUACUUCAUAACUGUACUUUUGCUACUGUUAUGAACUGUAAUGUAAAUGCCUGUGUUUUCUGAUUGUUUUAGGAGGCACCAAAGGUUAUUCAACCCCCCCAAAAGGGGUUGGGACCAACAGGUUGAGAACCACUACUGGUAAAACAAUGAAAAGGUGUUAUAGAAAUUUCUUGUUUCCUGAAACCUUAUUGUGAAAUAAUUGUCUUGUUAUUUGAUGACAUGCAGCAUUUCAAAUAUUAAGGGAUCUAGGGAAGGCCUCCAGCUGCAAGGUAAUAAAGACAUUUGAUUAUCUCA